rnacentral:rRNA from 1 species
UCCCUAUGGGGUGCAGCAGGCGCGAAAACUNUACGAUGCGGGAAACCGUGAUAAGGGAACUCCGAGUGCCCGUAAAAUCGGGCUGUCCAUCUGUUUAAAUAACAGGUGAAGAAAGGGCCGGGCAAGACCGGUGCCAGCCGCCGCGGUAAUACCGGCGGCUCGAGUGGUGGCCACUAUUACUGGGCUUAAAGCGUUCGUAGCUGGUUUGUUAAGUCUCUGGGGAAAUCUGCCGGCUCAACCGGCAGGCGUUCCAGGGAUACUGGCAGACUAGGGACCGGGAGAGGUGAGGGGUACUCCAGGGGUAGGAGUGAAAUCCUGUAAUCCUUGGGGGACCACCUGUGGCGAAGGCGCCUCACCAGAACGGCUCCGACAGUGAGGGACGAAAGCUGGGGGAGCAAACCGGAUUAGAUACCCGGGUAGUCCCAGCCGUAAACGAUGCGCGUUAGGUGUAUCGGUGACCACGAGUCACCGAGGUGCCGAAGAGAAAUCGUGAAACGUGCCGCCUGGGAAGUACGGUCGCAAGGCUGAAACUUAAAGGGAUUGGCGGGGGAGCACCACAACAGGUGGAGCCUGCGGUUUAAUCGGACUCAACGCCGGAAAUCUCACCGGAUAAGACAGCUGGAUGAUAGUCGGGCUGAAGACUCUACUUGACUAGCUGAGAGGAGGUGCAUGGCCA